CACGGCUCAACCGUGGAACUGCAUUUGAAACUGGAGACCUAGAGUAUGGAAGGGGCAGAUGGAAUUAGUGGUGUAGGGGUAAAAUCCGUAGAGAUCACUAGGAAUACCGAAAGCGAAGGCGAUCUGCUGGUACAUUACUGACGCUAAGAUACGAAAGCGUGGGGAGCAAACAGGAUUAGAUACCCUGGUAGUCCACGCCCUAAACGAUGAAUGCUAGUCGUCGGAACGCUUGUCGUUUCGGUGAUGCAGUUAACACAUUAAGCAUUCCGCCUGGGGAGUACGGUCGCAAGAUUAAAACUCAAAGGAAUAGACGGGGACCCGCACAAGUGGUGGAGCAUGUGGUUUAAUUCGAAGAUACGCGAAGAACCUUACCUAGGCUUGACAUAGUGAGAAUCCACCAGAGAUGGAGGAGUGCCUGCUUGCAGGAAUUCAUAUACAGGUGCUGCACGGCUGUCGUCAGCUCGUGUCGUGAGAUGUUGGGUUAAGUCCCGCAACGAGCGCAACCCUCGUCGUUAGUUGCUAACAGUUCGGCUGAGCACUCUAGCGAGACUGCCUUCGCAAGGAGGAGGAAGGUGAGGACGACGUCAAGUCAUCAUGGCCCUUAUGCCUAGGGCGACACACGUGCUACAAUGGGGCGUACAGAGAGUUGCGAUACCGCGAGGUGGAGCCAAUCUCAUAAAGCGUCUCUCAGUUCGGAUUGAAGUCUGCAACUCGACUUCAUGAAGCUGGAAUCACUAGUAAUCGUAGAUCAGCAAUGCUACGGUGAAUACGUUCCCGGGUCUUGUACUCACCGCCCGUCACACCAUGGGAGUUGAUUUCACCCGAAAUCGGGAAGCAAACCUUCGGGAUGCUACCGCUUAC
rnacentral:rRNA from 1 species